rnacentral:rRNA from 1 species
UACGUAGGGUGCGAGCGUUGCCCGGAUUUAUUGGGCGUAAAGGGCGCGUAGGCGGCUCGCGAGGUCGGGGGUGAAAUCCCGCAGCUUAACUGCGGAAGGGCCUCCGAUACCGGCGGGCUGGAGGAAGGUAGGGGUGCGCGGAACUUCUGGUGGAGCGGUGAAAUGCGUUGAUAUCAGAAGGAACGCCGGCGGCGAAAGCGGCGCACUGGACCUUUUCUGACGCUGAGGCGCGAAAGCUAGGGGAGCAAACGGG